UAACAAAAACAUGUCUUCUUGAUUAUAAUUUGAGGUUUGACCUGCUCAAUGAAUUAUUAAAUAGCCGCGGUAUUUUGACCGUGCAAAGGUAGCAUAAUCAUUAGUCUUUUAAUUAAGGGCUGGAAUGAAUGGUUUGACGAGAGAUUAUCUGUCUCUUAAUAAUUUUUGAAUUUAACUUUUGAGUUAAAAGGCUUAAAUUUUUUUUUAGGACGAGAAGACCCUAUAGAGCUUGACAUUUAAAUUUUAUAUUUGUUUAUUUUUAUUUAUUUAAUGAUAGUGUUUUGUUGGGGUGACAUGAGAAAUUAAUAAACUUUUCAUUAUUAAAUCAUUCAUUUAUGUUUAUUUGAUCCAUAAUUUAUGAUCAAAAGAUUAAGUUACCUUAGGGAUAACAGCGUAAUUGUUUUUGAGAGUUCUUAUUGACAAAGCAGAUUGCGACCUCGAUGUUGGAUUAAGAAAAAUUUUGGGUGUAGUAGUCAAAAAUUAGGUC
rnacentral:rRNA from 1 species